GGAAAGAUUCUUAGCUGCAUCGCAUCACACCCUGAAUUAAAAAAUGACCUUCAGUGCUCAAUCAAUCUGAAUUUUCAAGUUUGGCCUUUGAAUGUGUUGCUCUUUCUAACUGGAGGUAACCAGACUCGAUUAACAUAUAUCUACGUUCAAGAAGAUUCGCCAACAUUAAUCACAUGUAAAGCUAUCGGAUCUUUCCCAGCAGUGGAACUCUCAUUAUCUCUUAACUCUGACAUUAUUCCCAUCACUAAUUCUUCAAAGACUUCAAGUCUUUUCGAUGAGGAGUUGUUCGACACUGAGACUACCAUCAAAAUACGCUCGUCAAAAACAGACCAUGGAAAAUACAUUCACUGUUAUGCAUUCAUGGACAGCAAGGUUGUUGGCCAAAACCUUUCUAAAUUAAGGGUUUACGGCCCACCAGAUGACGCUUAUAUCACCAUUCCAGCGGAUCUGCAAGAUGGUAUGGAAACAAAUGUAACAUGCAGAACAUCUAAUGGAUACCCAGCUCAUCUCAUUCAUUGGUACGUUGGGUCAAGAAACCUUACAGAUAAUUCAUCGCUGGAGUCUUCAUUGAAUAUAGCUGGUCGAUACGAUGCUGUAAGCACUCUGACUUUCGUACCGAAGAGGGUAUACCAUGGACAACGUCUUCUAUGCCAGGCAGUUCAACCUGAAACACCCUUCGGUCGGUCAUUGAAUGAUAGCAUGGUU